ACUGGUGUCAGCCGCCGCGGUAAUACCAGCUCUCCGAGUGGUAGGGAGGAUUAUUGGGCUUAAAGCGUUCGUAGCCGGCCUGGCAAGUCUUCCGUUAAAUCCAGCGACCCAAUCGUUGGACUGCGGGAGAUACUGUUAGGCUAGGGGGCGGGAGAGGCCGACGGUACUCUCGGGGUAGGGGUGAAAUCCUAUAAUCCCGGGAGGACCACCAGUGGCGAAGGCGGUCGGCUAGAACGCGCCCGACGGUGAGGGACGAAAGCUGGGGGAGCGAACCGGAUUAGAUACCCGGGUAGUCCCAGCAGUAAACGAUGCGGGCUAGGUGUUGGGGCGGCUACGAGCCGCCUCGGUGCCGCACGGAAGCAAUUAA
rnacentral:rRNA from 1 species